ACAAUGAAGAGUUUGAUCCUGGCUCAGGAUGAACGCUAGCUACAGGCUUAACACAUGCAAGUCGAGGGGCAUCAGGAAGAAAGCUUGCUUUCUUUGCCGGCGACCGGCGCACGGGUGAGUAACACGUAUCCAACCUGCCCUUUACUCGGGGAUAGCCUUUCGAAAGAAAGAUUAAUACCCGAUGGCAUAAUGAUUCCGCAUGGUUUCAUUAUUAAAGGAUUCCGGUAAAGGAUGGGGAUGCGUUCCAUUAGGUUGUUGGUGGGGUAACGGCCCACCAAGCCUUCGAUGGAUAGGGGUUCUGAGAGGAAGGUCCCCCACAUUGGAACUGAGACACGGUCCAAACUCCUACGGGAGGCAGCAGUGAGGAAUAUUGGUCAAUGGGCGCUAGCCUGAACCAGCCAAGUAGCGUGAAGGAUGAAGGCUCUAUGGGUCGUAAACUUCUUUUAUAUAAGAAUAAAGUGCAGUAUGUAUACUGUUUUGUAUGUAUUAUAUGAAUAAGGAUCGGCUAACUCCGUGCCAGCAGCCGCGGUAAUACGGAGGAUCCGAGCGUUAUCCGGAUUUAUUGGGUUUAAAGGGAGCGUAGGUGGACUGGUAAGUCAGUUGUGAAAGUUUGCGGCUCAACCGUAAAAUUGCAGUUGAUACUGUCAGUCUUGAGUACAGUAGAGGUGGGCGGAAUUCGUGGUGUAGCGGUGAAAUGCUUAGAUAUCACGAAGAACUCCGAUUGCGAAGGCAGCUCACUGGACUGCAACUGACACUGAUGCUCGAAAGUGUGGGUAUCAAACAGGAUUAGAUACCCUGGUAGUCCACACAGUAAACGAUGAAUACUCGCUGUUUGCGAUAUACAGUAAGCGGCCAAGCGAAAGCAUUAAGUAUUCCACCUGGGGAGUACGCCGGCAACGGUGAAACUCAAAGGAAUUGACGGGGGCCCGCACAAGCGGAGGAACAUGUGGUUUAAUUCGAUGAUACGCGAGGAACCUUACCCGGGCUUAAAUUGCAGUGGAAUGAUGUGGAAACAUGUCAGUGAGCAAUCACCGCUGUGAAGGUGCUGCAUGGUUGUCGUCAGCUCGUGCCGUGAGGUGUCGGCUUAAGUGCCAUAACGAGCGCAACCCUUAUCUUUAGUUACUAACAGGUUAUGCUGAGGACUCUAGAGAGACUGCCGUCGUAAGAUGUGAGGAAGGUGGGGAUGACGUCAAAUCAGCACGGCCCUUACGUCCGGGGCUACACACGUGUUACAAUGGGGGGUACAGAAGGCAGCUAGCGGGUGACCGUAUGCUAAUCCCAAAAGCCUCUCUCAGUUCGGAUCGAAGUCUGCAACCCGACUUCGUGAAGCUGGAUUCGCUAGUAAUCGCGCAUCAGCCACGGCGCGGUGAAUACGUUCCCGGGCCUUGUACACACCGCCCGUCAAGCCAUGGGAGCCGGGGGUACCUGAAGUACGUAACCGCAAGGAUCGUCCUAGGGUAAAACUGGUGACUGGGGCUAAGUCGUAACAAGGUAGCCGUACCGGAAGGUGCGGCUGGAACACCUCCUUU
rnacentral:rRNA from 1 species